UACGGGAGGCAGCAGUGGGGAAUAUUGCACAAUGGGCGCAAGCCUGAUGCAGCCAUGCCGCGUGUAUGAAGAAGGCCUUCGGGUUGUAAAGUACUUUCAGUCGUGAGGAAGGUGUUAAGGUUAAUAACCUUAGCAAUUGACGUUAGCGACAGAAGAAGCACCGGCUAACUCCGUGCCAGCAGCCGCGGUAAUACGGAGGGUGCGAGCGUUAAUCGGAAUUACUGGGCGUAAAGGGCACGCAGGCGGUUAAUUAAGUUGGAUGUGAAAUCCCCGGGCUUAACCUGGGAAUGGCAUUCAAGACUGGUUAGCUAGAGUCUUGUAGAGGGGGUAGAAUUCCAUGGUGUAGCGGUGAAAUGCGUAGAGAUGUGGAGGAAUACCGGUGGCGAAGGCGGCCCCUGGACAAAGACCUGACGCUCAUGUGCGAAAGCGUGGGGAGCAAACAGGGAUUAGAUACC
rnacentral:rRNA from 1 species